rnacentral:rRNA from 1 species
AGUGAACGCUGGCGGCAGGCCUAACACAUGCAAGUCGAACGGCAGCACAGUAAGAGCUUGCUCUUACGGGUGGCGAGUGGCGGACGGGUGAGGAAUACAUCGGAAUCUACUUUUUCGUGGGGGAUAACGUAGGGAAACUUACGCUAAUACCGCAUCCGACCUACGGGUGAAAGCAGGGGAUCUUCGGACCUUGCGGGAUUGAAUGAGCCGAUGUCGGAUUAGCUAGUUGGCGGGGUAAAGGCCAACCAAGGCGACGAUCCGUAGCUGGUCUGAGAGGAUGAUCAGCCACACUGGAACUGAGACACGGUCCAGACUCCUACGGGAGGCAGCAGUGGGGAAUAUUGGACAAUGGGCGCAAGCCUGAUCCAGCCAUACCGCGUGGGUGAAGAAGGCCUUCGGGUUGUAAAGCCCUUUUGUUGGGAAAGAAAAGCAGCAGGUUAAUACCCCGCUGUUCUGACGGUACCCAAAGAAUAAGCACCGGCUAACUUCGUG